rnacentral:rRNA from 1 species
AUUGAACGCUGGCGGCAGGCCUAACACAUGCAAGUCGAACGAGUGGCGGACGGGUGAGUAAUGUCUGGGAAACUGCCUGAUGGAGGGGGAUAACUACUGGAAACGGUAGCUAAUACCGCAUACCAUCGGAUGUGCCCAGAUGGGAUUGGCUAGUAGGUGGGGUAAAGGCUCACCUAGGCGACGAUCCCUAGCUGGUCUGAGAGGAGGACCAGCCACACGGGAACUGAGACACGGCCCAGACUCCUACGGGAGGCAGAAGUGGGGAAUAUUGCACAAUGGGGGCAAGCCUGAUGCAGCCAUGCCGCGUGUAUGAAGAAGGCCUUCGGGUUGUAAAGUACGUUCAGCGGGGAGGCGUUACCCGAAGAAGAAGCACCGGCUAACUCCGUGCCAGCAGCCGCGGUAAUUC